rnacentral:rRNA from 1 species
UCAAUACAUCAACAUACGUCGAUGUAUCGAUCUUCCUUCAUUCUUCCUGAAAUUGG